UUUCUAGGAGACAAGGAAUUCCCAUUCUUUCAGAAUGUUGCUCAUUAAACUUCUCAAAUGACUUAGGAAACCAUGGUCCAGGAUGACACACGGAGCAGUCAUUAAUGCACCCACUUGCCUUCUGCUUCUCUGCUGUGUUAUGACGCACCUGAGGCCCUCACCAGAUGUGACUGCUCAAUCCUGACUUCCAGCCUCCAGAAGUAUGAGUUCACAGCUGUGCCAUUCCACUGAUGGGAGGAUAUUUGAGAAAUGUUAGAACUUCCAGCAUGCUUGAGCAGUGUGUGGAUUCAGGAUCAACGCCAAGCUGUUCACAACACCCUGUGUGCACUCUGGGCUGGCCAUAUGAUGAGUUUUGGCCAAAAGUCCAGUAACACACGCAAUAUAACAGAUGGUGAGAAAACCAUGAAUGUACACCUGGGAUGCUGCUAACUCCCAGUGAAUAUUUAUACUUAAAAUACUUUUGACCAUUCUAUCUCAUUCCUGUGGUUACAGAAUUUUAUUUUGGGGGCAGAAAUCUGGCAGUUUGGUUGCCUUUCUCUCUAUUUAGUGAUGUGUUGGUAAAUAUUUUAACAACUAGUUCUCUGGGAAAUUAAAAAGCAUUAAUUUACUGGC